rnacentral:rRNA from 1 species
CCUACGGGUGGCAGCAGUGGGGAAUAUUGCGCAAUGGGCGAGAGUCUGAACCAGCCAAGUAGCGUGAAGGAUGACUGCCCUAUGGGUUGUAAACUUCUUUUAUAAAGGAAUAAAACGAGGCACGUGUGCCUGUUUGCAUGUACUUCAUGAAUAAGGAAUGGCUAACUCCGGGCCAGCAGCCGCGGUAAUACGGAGGAUCCGAGCGUUAUCCGGAUUUUUUGGGGUUAAAGGGAGCGUAGAUGGGUUGUUAAGUCAGUUGUGAAAGUUUGCGGGUCAACCGUAAAAUUGCAAUUGAUACUGGCAUUCUUGAGUACAGUUGAGGUAAGCGGAAUUCGUGGUGUAGCGGUGAAAUGCUUAGAUAUCACGAAGAACCCCGAUUGCGAAGGCAGCUUACUAAACUGUGACUGACAUUGAUGCUCGAAAGUGUGGGUAUCAAACAGGAUUAGAUACCCCUGUAGUC